GAUGAAGAACGUAGCGAAAUGCGAUAAGUAAUGUGAAUUGCAGAAUUCAGUGAAUCAUCGAAUCUUUGAACGCACCUUGCGCCCUUUGGACUUCUGAAGGGCAUGCCUGUUUGAGUAUCAUGAACACCUCAACUCCUUAUGGUCUUCCAUGAUGAGCUUGGACUUUGGGGGUUUUGCUGGCCUACAGUCAGCUCCUCUAAAAUAAAUCAGCUUACCGGUGUUUGGUGGGUAUCAUGGGUGUGAUAACUAUCUACGCUCGUGGUUUUCCACCAGGUAACCUUCAGCAGUGGAGGUUCACUGGAGCUCAUAGAUGUCUCUCCUCAGCGAGGACAGCCCUUUGAAUGUUUGAUCUCAAAUCAGGGAGGACUACCCGCUGAACUUAAGCAUAUCAAUAAGCGGAGGA
rnacentral:misc_RNA from 1 species